AAGGACCCGUGCGGGAAGGGA
rnacentral:miRNA from 1 species